rnacentral:rRNA from 1 species
UACAGAGGUGGCAAGCGUUGUUCGGAAUUACUGGGCGUAAAGGGCGCGUAGGCGGCCUUCUAAGUCAGACGUGAAAUCCCCCGGCUUAACCUGGGAACUGCGUCUGAUACUGGAAGGCUUGAGUGCGGGAGAGGGAUGUGGAAUUCCAGGGGUAGCGGUGAAAUGCGUAGAUAUCUGGAGGAACACCGGUGGCGAAGGCGGCAUCCUGGACCGACACUGACGCUGAGGCGCGAAAGCUAGGGUAGCAAACGGG